AACGAACGCUGGCGGCAGGCCUAACACAUGCAAGUCGAGCGCCCCGCCCGGGGAGCGGCGGACGGGUGAGUAACGCGUGGGAACGUACCCUUUGCUACGGCCUAGCCUCGGGAAACUGGGAGUAUUACCGUAUGUGUCCUUAGGGCGAAAGAUUUCUCGGCAAGGGAUCGGCCCGCGUUGGAUUAGGUAGUUGGUGGGGUAAUGGCCUACCAAGCCGACGAUGCAUAGCUGGUUUGGGAGGAGGAUCAGCCACGCUGGGACUGAGCCACGGCCCAGACUCCGACGGGAGGCAGCAGUAGGGAAUCUUAGACAAGGAGCGCAAGCCUGAUCAAGCCGUGCCGCGGGAGCGAGGAAGGCCUUAGGGUUGUAAAGCUCUUUCAGGGGAGAAGAGAAUGACGGUACCCCCAGAAGAAGCCCCGGCUAACUCCGUG
rnacentral:rRNA from 1 species